CCUACGGGAGACUGCAGUCGAGAAUCAUUCACAAUGGGGGAAACCCUGAUGGUGCGACGCCGCGUGGGGGAAUGAAGGUCUUCGGAUUGUAAACCCCUGUCAUGUGGGAGCAAAUUAAAAAGAUAGGACCACAAGAGGAAGAGACGGCUAACUCUGUGCCAGCAGCCGCGGUAAUACAGAGGUCUCAAGCGUUGUUCGGAACCACUGGGCGUAAAGCGUGCGUAGGCUGUUUCGUAAGUCGUGUGUGAAAGGCGCGGGCUCAACCCGCGGACGGCACAUGAUACUGCGAGACUAGAGUGAUGGAGGGGGAAGCGGAAUUCUCGGUGUAGCAGUGAAAUGCGUAGAUAUCGAGAGGAACACUCGUGGCGAAGGCGGGUUCCUGGACAUUAACUGACGCUGAGGCACGAAGGCCAGGGGAGCGAAAGGGAUUAGAUACCCGAGUAGUC
rnacentral:rRNA from 1 species